AAAUCACCGUCUUCUGCGUCGCUCACGCUGGGAGCUGUAGACCGGAGCUGUUCCUAUUCGGCCAUCUUGGCUCCUCUCCUCAGCGGUAAUAUCUUUUAACUCUUUCUCCAUAACGUUAUUUUAGUGUCUUGUGGAGACCGCGCCAGUAGCAUAUGCUUGUCUCAAAGAUUAAGCCAUGCAUGUCUAAGUACGCAG
rnacentral:antisense_RNA from 1 species